rfam:Myotis brandtii contig182007, whole genome shotgun sequence.
GCCGGUGUGGCUCAGUGGAUAGAGCGUUGGCCUGUGGACUGAAGGGUCCUGGGUUUGAUUCCAGGCAAGGGCA